rnacentral:rRNA from 1 species
GGGAUUGCCUCAGUAACGGCGAGUGAAGCGGCAACAGCUCAAAUUUGAAAUCUGGCUCCUUCGGGGUCCGAGUUGUAAUUUGUAGAGAGUGUUUCGGGGGGGACCGCGGUCUAAGUCCAUUGGAACAUGGUGUCAUAGAGGGUGAGAAUCCCGUAUGUGACCGUGGAUCGAACCCAUGUGAAGCCUCUUCGACGAGUCGAGUUGUUUGGGAAUGCAGCUCAAAAUGGGUGGUAAAUUUCAUCUAAAGCUAAAUACUGGCUGGAGACCGAUAGCGCACAAGUAGAGUGAUCGAAAGAUGAAAAGCACUUUGGAAAGAGAGUUAAACAGUACGUGAAAUUGUUGAAAGGGAAGCGCUGGCAACCAGACCUGCCCGUAGGCGAUCAGUCACUGUUCUCAGUGGUGCACUCGCUCUGCGAUCAGGCCAGCAUCGGUUUCGGCGGUCGGAUAAAGGCCUUGGGAAUGUAGCUUCCUUUCGGGGGAGUCUUAUAGCCCUCGGUGCAAUGCGGCCAGCCGGGACCGAGGACCGCGCUUCGGCUAGGAUGCUGGCGUAAUGGUUGUCAGCGACCCGUCUUGAAACACGGACCAAGGAGUCUAACAUCUAUGCGAGUGUUUGGGUGUCAAACCCAUGCGCGGAAUGAAAGUGAACGGAGGUGAGAACCCUUAAGGGCGCAUCAUCGACCGAUCCAGAUGUCUUCGGAUGGAUUUGAGUAUGAGCAUAGCUGUUGGGACCCGAAAGAUGGUGAACUAUGCCUGAAUAGGGUGAAGCCAGAGGAAACUCUGGUGGAGGCUCGCAGCGGUUCUGACGUGCAAAUCGAUCGUCAAAUUUGGGUAUAGGGGCGAAAGACUAAUCG